rnacentral:lncRNA from 1 species
UGUUGUUAUAGUUAAGCAAAUUAGAAAGAUUUUCUUCUUUCUUUUUCAAGUUUCAUUUAAAAAAAAAAAACUUAUAACUGGAAAGGAGAUUGAUUUUGUGCAAAAAACAUUAAAUCUGAAGAAUUAUAUAUUUAUAUGCAAUUGAAGAUAUUAAUUGAUUCUCAAUUUACAAUAGUUAUAAAAGCAAUAUAAAAGCAUAUUCAAUAAGGAAGUAUCGUCUCGAAACAGUGCACACCGUCCAACUCAGGUGCAAAUCUCGGCUUUCUCUGCUGCUUCAAUGACUCCUUUACGUUCUCCGAUGAAGGUGAACUUUUCUUUUCCAUCCCUUUCUUCUUCAUUGACUCGACAGCUGUAGCCUUGCUUCUUUCAUUGCGAGUAGAGGAAACCCCCGAGAACUUCACUUUUUGCUCGUAGAAUUCCUUGCAGAAGGCAUCGAAAGAGCUGAACAUCGACAUCAUCAUCGCGAUCGUUUAUCAGAAACCAACUGAUUGAGAUUAGCAGAAAUUAGGAUGAACGAUUGGAAAUUGAGGAUGGUAAAUUAUGAGAUUUAGGAGAGUUUGAGUUUGGAAAACAAAGAUCAAAUUGAGACGAUUAAUUUCCGUUGAGAGAAGAGGUAUUUAAAGGGAAACCUUUUUUCUUUUUUGACAAGAAAGAACCUAAAUUCUUAUAAAACUGGUAGCAUCUGGAAAGACGCGUUGGCAGUCUUCGUGGACGGGCGGCGUGGAAGUUAGACUUUGAUUGGACCUACGAAAUAUUCCGAUUUGGCGGGACAAGUGGGUUACGUGGAUGGCUGAGAUUAAACUUGAGUUUAUUUAAUUUUGUUUUUGCAUUUUCUGUUAUGUGAGAACAUGAACGAAGCAAAUGGAUAGAGGUGGCGUGGAGGGUACGGGUCGCGUCGCGUAUUUUCUGGAGUGAGCUGGAAUUAUUGAAAGGAAGGAAUGAAACAUACAAAACCAUAAAACCCUUAGAACAAAAUUGGAGCUUCGAAUAAAAUACCAACCGAAGGAAGUCUGGUAGAACUUAGCCAAAAAUAGCCCAAGGGAGCGAUGAUACUACCAGAUGUAUCGGUGCAACCCUAAGACGAACGACGAGAAGCAAUCAGAAGCCUUCUCCCAACUGGCUAAAGAACAAAAGCAAAACCCCUCUCAGUAAGGUCCCCUUAAAGAACUUCCUCCAAAUAUAGUAUGGGAGACCUCAAAACAAGGAUGACCAAAGAAAACAGACCCAAGAAAACACCCUCAUUCAAAGUGAGAACCAAAAGAAAAGUGACUCAAAAAACAACAAAGCAAGAAAGAAAAUCUCUAAUCAACAAAAGAAACUCUCCACACUAACAUGCACGAUUCGAAGAAAACCACCUGUAUAACCGGAAACGGAAAGGGACCGAAGGAAAAGUGCCUCUUCCGAGUAAAAGACGACAAAGGAACCCCAAUACAACUAUCAAGGAAGAAGGCCAACAACCUUUCACCUUCCUUACCGCUUCCGCUCCCUUUCUCCUCUUCUCUCUUCUAGAAGGUAUAGGAUGAAAUUAUUUGGUUAGGAUGAAAUUAACUUGCCCUUCUUUAAUUAUUAAUUUAUUAUUAUAAACUGUUUAAUUACCCUAAAUUCUAUCGACU